GAUGAACGCUGGCGGCGUGCCUAAUACAUGCAAGUCGAGCGAACAGACGAGGAGCUUGCUCCUCUGACGUUAGCGGCGGACGGGUGAGUAACACGUGGAUAACCUCCCUAUACGACUGGGAUAAAUUCGGGAAACCGGAGCUAAUCCCGGAUAAUAAAUUGAUCCGUAAGGUUCAAUAGUGAAAGACAGUUUUACUGUCACUUUUAGAUGGAUCCUCGCCUCAUUAGCUAGUUGGUAAGGUAACGGCUUACCAAGGCAACGCUGCGUAGCCGACCUGAGAGGGUGUCCGCCCACCCUGGAACUGAGACACGGUCCAGACUCCUCCGGGAGCAAGCAGUAGGGAAUCUUCCGCAAUGGGCGAAGGCCUGACGGAGCAACGCCGCGUGGGUGAUGAAGGUCUUCGGAUCGUAAACCUCUUUUAUUAGGGAAGAACAAAUGUGUAAGUAACUAUGCACGUCUUGACGGUACCUAAUCAGAAAGCCACGGCUAACUACGUG
rnacentral:rRNA from 1 species